rnacentral:misc_RNA from 1 species
GAUGAAGAACGCAGCGAAAUGCGAUAAGUAAUGUGAAUUGCAGAAUUCCGUGAAUCAUCGAAUCUUUGAACGCACAUUGCGCCCGCCAGUAUUCUGGCGGGCAUGCCUGUUCGAGCGUCAUUACAACCCUCAGGCCCCCGGGCCUGGCGUUGGGGAUCGGCGGAGCCCCCCGUGGGCACACGCCGUCCCCCAAAUACAGUGGCGGUCCCGCCGCAGCUUCCAUCGCGUAGUAGCUAACACCUCGCGACUGGAGAGCGGCGCGGCCACGCCGUAAAACACCCAACUCUUCUGAAGUUGACCUCGAAUCAGGUAGGAAUACCCGCUGAACUUAAGCAUAUCAAUAAGCGGAGGA